rnacentral:ribozyme from 1 species
UGCCCAACAACUCCUAUCCCUAUCACCGCAUGGUACCGGCUGGAAACUAUGAGCAACCUUAGGGAAGAUCGGUUAAUCAAUCCCGGUGGGAACUAUGGUCGUAGGCUGACAGGGAAGG